AGCCUUGGCUCAGGGGAGGUUUGAACAGUGGCCUUUUUGUGUGGAGUUUGCAUGUUCUCCCCAUGUAUGUGUGGGUUCUCUCAGGGUACUCCGGUUUCCUCCAACCGUCCAAAGACAUGCAUGUUAGGUUAAUUGGUCACUUAUAAUUCUCCCUUGGAGUGAAUGCGAGUAUGAAUGG